GCCGUCGUAGCGUAAUGGUAGCGCGUCGCUUUCCUAUGUUGGGAUCUCAGGCGAAGGUUGUGAGUUCGAUCCUCACCGUCGGUA